UACAGAGGGUGCAAGCGUUGUUCGGAAUUAUUGGGCGUAAAGCGCGUGUAGGCGGCUUUGCAAGUCGGGUGUGAAAGCCCUCAGCUCAACUGAGGAAGUGCGCCCGAAACUGCAGAGCUUGAGUGCCUGGAGAGGGUGGCGGAAUUCCCGGUGUAGAGGUGAAAUUCGUAGAUAUCGGGAGGAACACCAGAGGCGAAGGCGGCCACCUGGACGGACACUGACGCUGAGACGCGAAAGCGUGGGGAGCAAACAGG
rnacentral:rRNA from 1 species